rnacentral:misc_RNA from 1 species
GAACUGCGAUAAGUAAUGUGAAUUGCAGAAUUCAGUGAAUCAUCGAGUCUUUGAACGCACAUUGCGCCCCCUGGCAUUCCGGGGGGCAUGCCUGUCCGAGCGUCAUUGCUGCCCUUCAAGCCCGGCUUGUGUGUUGGGUCGUCGUCCCCUCCGGGGGACGGGCCCGAAAGGCAGCGGCGGCACCGCGUCCGGUCCUCGAGCGUAUGGGGCUUUGUCACCCGCUCGAUAAGGACCGGCCGGGCGCCAGCCGGCGUCUCCAACCUUUUUUUCUCAGGUUGACCUCGGAGCAGGUAGGGAUACCCGCUGAACUUAAGC